ACAGAGGUCCCGAGCGUUGUUCGGAUUCACUGGGCGUAAAGGGUGCGUAGGUGGCAUGGUAAGUUUGAUGUGAAAGCUCAGGGCUUAACCCUGAAAUGGCAUUGAAUACUACUGUGCUGGAGGUCUGGAGGGGGGACUGGAAUUCUCGGUGUAGCAGUGAAAUGCGUAGAUAUCGAGAGGAACACCAGUGGCGAAGGCGACUUACUGGACGAUUGUUGACGCUGAGGUGCGAAAGCGUGGGGAGCAAACAGGA
rnacentral:rRNA from 1 species